rnacentral:rRNA from 1 species
AUAUUUUUAAUAUUUAUAUAAUAUUAACAUAAUUCAUAUUACUAUAAUUUUUAUUAGUAUAUGAAAUUUUACUUUGAGAAAAUUAGAGUGCUUAAAGCAGGCAUAUGCCUUGAAUACUCCAGCAUGGAAUAAUAUAAAAGAUUUUUAUCUUUUUUAUUGGUUCUAAGAUAAAAAUAAUGAUUAAUAGGGACAGUUGGGGGCAUUUGUAUUUAACAGUCAGAGGUGAAAUUCUUAGAUUUGUUAAAGACAAACUAGUGCGAAAGCAUUUGCCAAGGAUGUUUUCAUUAAUCAAGAACGAAAGUU